UACAGAGGUGGCAAGCGUUGUUCGGAAUUACUGGGCGUAAAGGGCGCGUAGGCGGCCUUCUAAGUCAGACGUGAAAUCCCCCGGCUUAACCUGGGAACUGCGUCUGAUACUGGAGGGCUUGAGUAUGGGAGAGGGAUGUAGAAUUCCAGGUGUAGCGGUGAAAUGCGUAGAUAUCUGGAGGAAUACCGGUGGCGAAGGCGGCAUCCUGGACCCAGAACUGACGUCAGGCACGAAAAGCGUGGGGGAGCAAAACAGGG
rnacentral:rRNA from 1 species